GGUAGCAGUAGUUUUCUAUCAUAGUCCACCAGGAUACUCUCUUGGUGUGUACUGGGUGUUAACCUCCUUUUUUUCUGGUACUUGCUAUCCAGCAAUGGGUAGUUUUGUCCAGAUAGUUUACUUUGAAAAAAUUAGAGUGUUCAAAGCAGGCAUAAUUGGCAUCAUGAAUACAUUAGCAUGGGAUAAUAGAAUAUGACAUUGGUCUUAUUUUGUUGGUUUCUAAGGCCAAAGUAAUGAUUGAUAGGGGAUAGUUGGGGCCGCUCGUAUUGAGUUGUCAGAGGUGAAAUUCUAGGAUUUACUCAAGACGAACUAAUGCGAAAGCAUUCGGCAAGGAUGUUUUCAUUAAUCAAGAACGAAAGUUGGGGGGAUCGAAGAUGAUCAGAUACCGUCGUAGUCUCAACCAUAAACUAUGUCAACCGAGGAUCCGGUAGCGUUACAUGGAUGACCUUCCGGGCACUCUGUGAGAAAUCAUAAGUAUUUGGAUUUCGGGGGGAG
rnacentral:rRNA from 1 species